GGUAAACAGUAAAGAUGGCGACUUCUGUAGCUGGAGAGGGGCAACACAGUCUAAAUGGGAUUAUAUGCGACACACAAGCUAAAAAACUGACUGACCUGCCGACCGAGUUACUCGAACACAUCCUGUGCUUCCCCGUCCUCGACCAUGUCGACAUUUGUAACGUAUCCUGCUGCUGCAAACGGCUACACGACGUCUGCCAUGGAAGGGGGAAGGUCUGGGGACACCAGUACAAACUGAGAUGGCCAAGACUGCAAAUGUUUUACCGUCAGAAUGAGUGCUGUGACUGGCUCAGAGAAUACAAAACACGCCAUAGAGUUGGUAUACAAAUACGAAGGACCGUGGAAUCGAUCUCCAAGAGGUUCUUCACAGAAGUCCCUUGCGUUGGCCAGGUGCUGGGAGACAGCUUUGCAGAGAUCGAGUCACUCGGGAUGCCGGAGCAUUUCUGCGAAGACGAGCUCCUCUUCAUACUCAACUCUGACAAGAGGUUGAGAGCAACAGUGUGCACGCACAGCAACACCUCAACACUUGCCACACACUUUUUUGUAAUCGUUAAUGGGUUUGGGUGUUGGAUCUUGUUGAUCCGGAUUAUUAAAAUCUCCUGUUGUGUUGCACACCGUGAAUGUGUCUCUCUCUUCUGUUUUGCGCCCAUCAUUAGGAAAAGCUUGACUUUGAAGUACUAUGCAAAGAAAAUCCUUUACUUCCUGAGACAACAGAACAUCCUGAGGAGUUUGAAGACCUUCAUGGAGCAGCCUGCAGAUCAGCAGUCAUCGUUGGAGGGUGCUGUACUGGUUGAUCAGUAUUGUAACCCUCUGGCUGAUGUAACACUGAACAGCGUAUCAGCCCAGCUGGACGAGAUUGCAGAAAAAGUGAAGAAGAUGCUGAGAAUCAAGAACCCCUCUCACCCCAGCCUGCGUAUCGCUCAAGGUGACUGUUUAGUGGUGGAGGACUUCGAGCUCCAGAGGCAGCUGGUGUCCGCCCUAAACUCUGUCUUAUACGAGCAGCUUCAAUACAAAGGCAACGAGUUUGACUACUACAACCCUCUUAACUCUUAUAUCCACCAGGUGCUACUACGCCGUACAGGCAUUCCCAUAAGUCUCUCUGUCCUCUACAUGAACUUAGCCCGGAAGCUGGGGGUUCAGCUGGAACCGGUCAACUUUCCUAAUCACUUCCUGCUGCGCUGGUGCCAAAAACCAACAGUGAGUGAGGACAUCUAUGACUUUGUCUACAUUGAUGCCUUUGGUAAAGGCAAACAGCUGACCGCCAAGGAGUGCGAGUACCUCAUUGGCCACCAGGUGACGGCAGACUACUACAGUGCCAUCAGCACCACCGAGGUGCUGCUCAGGAUGGUGGGAAACCUGCUUAACAUCGGCAAAAGAGGGGAGGGCAAUGAGAAAUCCUACCAGCUGUUGAGAGACUCUCUGGACCUCUACCUCACUAUAAACCCAGAUAAUGUGCAGUACCUGCUGCUGCAGGCACGCCUCUACUUCCAUCUGGGCAUCUGGCCAGAAAAGGUGCUUGACAUCCUGCAGCACAUUCAGGCGUUGGAUCCCUCCCAGCAUGGGGCGGUGGGUUACCUGGUGCAGCACACGCUGGAGCACAUCCAGCACAAGAAACAUCCCGUCACACCCGAGGAGAAGAAGCGCAGCGCUCCAGAACACCUGGAGGUCCAGUAUUCCGUUGGCCUCAUCAUGAAACACAAGAGGUCAGGGUAUAACUGUGUGAUCUAUGGCUGGGACCCAAAGUGCACCAUGAGUCAGGAGUGGAUCACCACCAUGAGGGUCCACCAGCUGUCCAACGGGGCCAACCAGCCUUUCUACAACGUCCUCGUGCAGGACGGAACGUGUCGCUACGCAGCACAAGAGAACCUGGAGCCCCACUCAGCUCCCCUGGAGAUCGGCCACCCGGAGGUGGGACGUUACUUCUCAGAGUUUGCCAACACCUACUACUUUGCCAAUGAAGAACUGCAGACGCGAUACCCAGAGGACAUAGUUGAAACUUUGGGCAUGGUGCAGGAGCUUUACCACAGACUGACACCUGGCCUUGGGAACCAGGACCAGGCUUCUGCCACAGACCAGAACAACCACCGAGCCACGCCCAUGUAGCAGCGCCGCUGUGACAAACCCGGGAUAACCGAUUACUGGUCACCCAUUCUCAAUUCACAGUCCACUUAGCUGUUGCUUUGUUGCGCAUACUCAAGACCAGGACGUUUGUAAAAAAAAACAGGUCGUAUACAGUAUUCUCAGAAAUUGAUGAAUUUGUGUAACAAGAAAUGAUUCACAAAUGUGAUUUUUGUACCACAGUCAGGCUCCAGUGCAGAUCAGGAAAGAAAUACCUGAAAAAGUCUAGAAACAUGCAGCAAAGAUCGUUAGUGAUUGGACACACGCGUCUAAUACCACGGUGUUGUUGUGAAAACAAAGCUCAAACGAAGGAGCGAUGUGGCCCAGACGAUGGUCGUCAUCCAGGAUGCAGGAUCCUCAAAUCCAGUCAUGCAGGAGGCUCUAAAUUCGCCGUGGUGGACGCUGCCCAGCUGUCGUCUCACUCAGAACACCAACUCGGCCUCCAACAAUGUAAUUGGUUUCACAAACAUCUAUUUUUUGCAGACUCCCUCUGACAGUGCUGCAUUUUCAACAUCUUCAAGUCCCUCAAAUCCACAAGUCUGUCAUUGUCAACCAACCAAUCUACUUCGCUUUAUAUUGAUACAUGGCACAUUUUACUUUUUAUUAAUAAUAUAUCUAUCUAUCUAUCUAUCACAUACACACAACACGUAACAUUAAAACAAACAACAAUUUAAUGUAAAUAUAAACUCAAAAAUAAAUAUAUAUAUUACAUUGAUACUGAGCCCUUUAAUGCAUUUUUCCCGGGGACUCACUUUUUAAAAAUGACAAAACAUUGCGACCCAAUUCAUUCACAGCAGGCCUCAUCUAUGAAUCAUAAGAGCGAAUUUGUGCAUAAAGGAACAUUCCUGAACAUUUUUACUGCCACUUGAAGAGAUGUAUGUUUAAAGUAAUCACAACUUUGUUUUAUGCAUGUGUUAUUGAAAACAUAAACACGUUAAAUACUUUAUAAAUAAGACUCCAUUUAGAUUCAAUGUUAUAAGUAGCUACAAUUAUUAUUGCAUAUUUAUUUUAGACCCUGAUGACUCACUGGAAAGUGAAGCAUUCAAUGGCCAUGUAAAUAUUCACAGGCUGAAAUACAUUUAAAAAUGUAAUUUAUGGAAUUUAGCGUUACACGUCGGCGAUUUCUGGUCCCCUCUCCAUUUUGAUAAUCGUCCCGUUUGCGGUCCUACAGUCGGUUCAAUAAGAGCACAAGUAAACACAAGUUAGGUUACUAACAUUACAUCUAAACGCUGUAAUCGGUGAUUAACUUUAUUUACGUUACCUUAAUUUGCUAUCCCGUUAGCUAGCUAACCUUUCUCAGGCUAAUAGAGCGCGAGCUAGCUGACGUCACAGAGCUAGCUCCAAUAUUAGCAACCGGAUGUAACGAAACAGACCAAGUGAAACAUUAUCUGAGAUGUUAACAGUUCAAUAAUCAUGAACCCGAAACAAUAAUGGAGACUUUCGGGUGAUAAGCUUAACUUUAUGGUGAUCUCCACAUGGCUGUUGCUCAGAAGGACGAACUGAAGCUGUUGUGUCCAAAGUCACAUUCAGGAGCAGUUGCAUCUUGUCGCUCAAAAAUGACUUCUAGGCAAUGAGCAGUUUGAAUAAUAAAAUAUAUAUUAUAUCAUCAUUACAGACACAUUAACCUACAACAAACAGUACAAUGUAGAUGGAUUGAGAUUAACUGAAUUUGUAUACAGAAGCGUGAAUCCACCUCUUCACAAAAAAAUAUUGUAUCAUGCUGCUAAAUUACAGUAGUCUGCUGUUGUUGUCAUUUUACGGCAUUAACUGUUAAUUUACAUGCGAGGGAUGAACAUUUAUGUUCCAGUUAUUAUGAAAUACUGUAAGAUAACGUUGAAAAUCCACCGUAAAUUCACAGCAAUUCGUUCCAGUGGAUAGCUUUUAUUCACUGUAGAAAUUCAGAAUAAGAGGAGUACUGGUAAUUGUUUUUUCCCCCGUACUUUACGCAC